CGAUUUAUCUUCAGAAGACAAGCAGAUGAGGAGACAAAACCUACUGAUGUGGGUACCCAAGCAGGAACCCCCCUCUUGCACCGGCGACUCACGUGAGAAGAAGAAUUCACUGAGCUGAAAUGGAGUGAGAGCUAAGAUGCUCUCAGAAUAUUCUUAAAAUGACUGUGCUGCAAAGAAGCCUGGUGCAGAUUUCUCAUACUUUAUGGAGAAAUAGAAGGCACCAGAUGACAGCCACCACACACUUUUGUCCCCAUUGCAAUAGGAUGCUUCUAACAAUC